rfam:Pteropus alecto contig60875, whole genome shotgun sequence.
GUUUCUGGCCAUACCACCCUAAACAUGCCCGAUCCCAUCUGAUCUCAGAAGCUAAGCAGGGUUGGUCCUGGUUAGUACUUGGAUGGGAGACCACCUAGGAAGACCAUGUGCUGUAGGUG